GUCUACAGAAAUGCUUUCCUGAUCAUGGCCAGUCUCAUCUGAUGCUGGAAGCUGAGCAGGGUCAGGUCUGGUUAGAAUGUAGGUUGGGAGGGAGAGAGACAUAUGAUCUACAUAUACU
ensembl:rRNA n-R5s61 nuclear encoded rRNA 5S 61